rnacentral:rRNA from 1 species
UACAGAGGUCUCAAGCGUUGUUCGGAUUCAUUGGGCGUAAAGGGUGCGUAGGCGGCGCGGUAAGUCGGGUGUGAAAUUUCGGAGCUUAACUCCGAAACUGCAUUCGAUACUGCGGUGCUUUGAGGACUGGGAGAGGAGACUGGAAUUCAUGGUGUAGCAGUGAAAUGCGUAGAGAUCAUGAGGAAGACCAGUGGCGAAGGCGGGUCUCUGGACAGUUCCUGACACUGAGGCACGAAGGCCAGGGGAGCAAACGGG